CCCGCGCGCCGGCCCUGCCCCCUCGCGCCUCCGCCCGGGCCCCAGACCCUGGGGGCAGAGGGCAGAGGGCAGAGGUCAGAGGCCGCGGGGAGGAACCCCCCUGUUGCUUCCGCCUCCCGGGGCGCAGGCGCUGGGCGCGGCGGGGAAGGGACUCGGCACUGGGGAAACCCGGAGUUUCAGCCAGGGUCCCAGGGCUUCCUUCCCGGGUUCCUGCCGGAAAACUUUUCUCCUCCGCCCGGAAGCCUCGAUGGGGCAGUGAGAUCGCGGGGCGAGCCUGUCCUGCUCUGGCCUGCCCUGUGCUCAGGAAGCUGGCGGUCCCCCUCAGUGGAUCUUCACCCACAGGGACAACCUGCUGCAGACCGGGUAGGAGGGAGGCAGGGGCCUCUUCCCCUCUCCUUCCUGGCCUGGCCCCACACCCACCAGUGUUGGUUUCACUCUGUGGCUACGAUUCUUCCUGGGUGCCCUUUCCAUUGCACAACUCCUCUAGGCUCUACGAACAGAACUUCUCCCCGCCCCCAAGCCUCUUAGGGUGAGACAUGUUGUCGGUCUGCCAUUGUUGCUGGUCCCUAAAUAGCAGCACCCUUUGAAGGAUCCUUGAACCAUGACCACACCGCAACAAAGAGUCCUUCAUCAAACUCGCUUCCAAAUCCCCUCCCAAGAACACCUUCAGUUUCCUGCAAGAACCCUGACUGCUGAAGCCGGAUUUUGACUAAGCUUCUACCUUGUAAACCGUGACUGUGGGAUUGGGGUCGAGGCGCAAUCAGAGGUUGUAUAAGGCACUAGAUCAAGGCUGCCUGUCUGUCAGGAGUGUCUGCUUUAUUCAGUAGUAAAUGUGAAUUGUUUUUCAUUCUGUUGUGAAUACUGUUGGUUGACAAUGCAGCAGCCAUGCCCUCUCUAUCCUUGCUGGUUCAGGUAUCCACUCUGUGUGGCUAAGGGUAAACUCUGUCUCUUGAGAAAAUCUUGGUAACUCCAUUUCUCUUUCCAACAAUUGGCUUCAAACAAGCUCAAGUCAAUGAGUCCCAACAGGAAGCCUGCUGGGGGUUGUCUGGCAAAGGUUUUCUCACUCCUACAGGAACAUAAAGAGGAAAUGCUCCUUUUUCCCUGGUGAAUGUUGCAUUCCCUGUCUGGAUGCAAUGCCUGGUGCUCCGCAGCCCUUUGCACUUAUAAGAGAAGGUGGCCGGAAGAGCAUCUUCACCCUGGGGUGGCCGCCUGGGAAGAUGAGAAGAGCAGGAGUCCUUGGUGGCACAACCAGGCAAUUCACCAAAAUCCUGCUGCCCUCACCUGGAAUUUCCUGCUAUGAGAGACGUCUCCGUUUAAACCACAUGAGCUGGAUUUUCUGUUUCUAACACAUGUCAGCAUCUUCACGGUAAAUCUAAGAAAAAAAAAUCAGGGCUAUUAAAAAACAAAGUCCAACUCACCCUGUGCUAUGGUCUGAAGGUGUCCUCCCAAAUUCACACGUGGAAACCUAAUCCCAAAUACCUGAUACCUAAUCCCAAAUAUUAAGAGGUGGGGGCCUUGGGAGGUGGUUAGGAAUGGGAUUAGUGCCCUUUAAAACUGAGGUUUUUGGGAGCCUGCUUGCCCUUUCUGCCAUAUGAAGAUGCUUAGAAGAGGCCUUCUAUGAAGCAGAGAACUUUUCUCAGAUGCCAGAUCUGCUGGGACCUUGAUCUUGGAUUUCUCAGCCUUCAGAACUGUGGGAAGCAAACUUCUGUGUGUAUGAAUAGCCAUCUAAAGGAUUUUGUUACAGCAGCCUGAGCAGACUAAGACACCCUGUGAGUCAGUUAUUUUUGGCUGUGUCACGAGUGACCGCGAGUGCAGGAGCUGAAACGGCAGUGAGUGGGUUACCAUUUCUCAGGACCCUGCGGAAUUGGUGCGAUGGUGCUUCUGCUCCACCUGUUGUUGGCUGGGAUUGUCCUGCAGCUGCAUUCUUCUGGGGGUCAGCUGGGGCUGGAAGCUUCCUGUGGUCUAGUCACACAGCUGGGGUCUCAGCUAGGGUGAUAGAACACUGGGGGCAGGCCGGCCUUGCUGUCUCUCUCUGGCUUCUCAUCAUUCAGUGGUCUAGCCUGAGUUUUUUACAUGGCAGCUCAGGAGGGUCAAUGUGGACGCUAUACAGCCUGUAAGGCCCGGGUUUGGAAGUCCAAGAAUAUGACUUCUACCAUGUUCUACUGGUGAAUAUAAAUUCCAAGGCCAGCCUAGAUUCAAGGGAUAAGAACGUAGAUUUCACUCCUUGAUGGGAGGAUCCCAUGUACAGACAGGGAUCCUUAUGAGGGAUUAUGAGAACUCCUAAUCCUUAUGAGGGAUUAUCAUACAGAGAAUUUAUGGGGGAUUAUCUUUGGAAAUAAUCUACCAUAGACUGAAUAAAUGAUAAUGUAAUGUG
rnacentral:lncRNA from 1 species